rnacentral:lncRNA from 1 species
CCUGAAGUAAACACACACACACACACACACACACACACACACACACACACACACACACACACACACACACACACAUAACCACACAUCAACUCAGCUCCCUUGAUAUCCAUUCAGACUAUACCUCUUCCUCUCUCUCUCUCUCUCUCUCUCUCUCUCUCUCUCUGUGAGUGUGUGGCGCCAUGGUGAAAAACACUGCGGUUCUUUCAGCCAGUCAGUCAGAGCCAGUAGCCUAUACACACUGUCUCUCUCCCUCAUUCAGCGCCUGGCUCACUCUCUCUACGCUCAACACGCGCUGAUCCUCGCCUCCUCACUGCAUCUGUCCUCUUCUCCCUGAAGUGAGGUACCAUGCAUCCUGCUCUCUCCUCCUCCUUCUCUUCUCCGCUUGUCUGUUAUCAUUCCAGGGUCUCUUUAUCAAACAGAGCAUUCUUGCUGCAAAGCCGGCGACCGUAAAGACUGUGUUACUUGCUCAAAGGACUUUGGAGACGGGACAAGGUUGUUUUGCCGGGUUUGAGGACAGCUGCCGGAAACGCUGCUGUUGUUGCCGCUUUCUGUUGGGAUGCGAACCUUUGCGGGGCCUCUGCUUGCUGUGUAACGACGCUUGACUCCUUUCAAAGUUGCAGAAGGGCAGACGUCAAUCAAGAAUCUCAUCCUUGUUUCUCUGAGAACACUGACAACUCGCCGUGUGUGGAGUCAGACCGGCACAGGAUCCCCAUCUCAACCCCUCACACACUGACCAGGACUGCACUGCUGCUAUGUCCGAUCUUGACGCAACAUCAGCUUGAGAUUCUUCUCCCGAAAGUUACUGAACAAUCUCAUGCUCCUAUCAUUCCUGCCUGUGAUUUCCAUAUGAGAUUCAGCAGCACCAGGCAGAACUGGCCUGGAUCACUGACUUUCAACUUCACAUAAGAACAACAAGGACUAAAUCUGAGUUCCACGGACAGAAACAAGACUGUUUAGUACUUUAAGGUCACAAACAAAGCCCUGUUUGUAUUGGAGCAGCUCU